rnacentral:rRNA from 1 species
AAUCCAUAGGUUAAUGAGGCGAACCGGGGGAACUGAAACAUCUAAGUACCCCGAGGAAAAGAAAUCAACCGAGAUUCCCCCAGUAGCGGCGAGCGAACGGGGAGCAGCCCAGAGCCUGAAUCAGUAUGUGUGUUAGUGGAAGCGUCUGGAAAGGCGCGCGAUACAGGGUGACAGCCCCGUACACAAAAAUGCACAUGCUGUGAGCUCGAUGAGUAGGGCGGGACACGUGGUAUCCUGUCUGAAUAUGGGGGGACCAUCCUCCAAGGCUAAAUACUCCUGACUGACCGAUAGUGAACCAGUACCGUGAGGGAAAGGCGAAAAGAACCCCGGCGAGGGGAGUGAAAAAGAACCUGAAACCGUGUACGUACAAGCAGUGGGAGCACGCUUAGGCGUGUGACUGCGUACCUUUUGUAUAAUGGGUCAGCGACUUAUAUUCUGUAGCAAGGUUAACCGAAUAGGGGAGCCGAAGGGAAACCGAGUCUUAACUGGGCGUUAAGUUGCAGGGUAUAGACCCGAAACCCGGUGAUCUAGCCAUGGGCAGGUUGAAGGUUGGGUAACACUAACUGGAGGACCGAACCGACUAAUGUUGAAAAAUUAGCGGAUGACUUGUGGCUGGGGGUGAAAGGCCAAUCAAACCGGGAGAUAGCUGGUUCUCCCCGAAAGCUAUUUAGGUAGCGCCUCGUGAAUUCAUCUCCGGGGGUAGAGCACUGUUUCGGCAAGGGGGUCAUCCCGACUUACCAACCCGAUGCAAACUGCGAAUACCGGAGAAUGUUAUCACGGGAGACACACGGCGGGUGCUAACGUCCGUCGUGAAGAGGGAAACAACCCAGACCGCCAGCUAAGGUCCCAAAGUCAUGGUUAAGUGGGAAACGAUGUGGGAAGGCCCAGACAGCCAGGAUGUUGGCUUAGAAGCAGCCAUCAUUUAAAGAAAGCGUAAUAGCUCACUGGUCGAGUCGGCCUGCGCGGAAGAUGUAACGGGGCUAAACCAUGCACCGAAGCUGCGGCAGCGACGCUUAUGCGUUGUUGGGUAGGGGAGCGUUCUGUAAGCCUGUGAAGGUGUACUGUGAGGUAUGCUGGAGGUAUCAGAAGUGCGAAUGCUGACAUAAGUAACGAUAAAGCGGGUGAAAAGCCCGCUCGCCGGAAGACCAAGGGUUCCUGUCCAACGUUAAUCGGGGCAGGGUGAGUCGACCCCUAAGGCGAGGCCGAAAGGCGUAGUCGAUGGGAAACAGGUUAAUAUUCCUGUACUUGGUGUUACUGCGAAGGGGGGACGGAGAAGGCUAUGUUGGCCGGGCGACGGUUGUCCCGGUUUAAGCGUGUAGGCUGGUUUUCCAGGCAAAUCCGGAAAAUCAAGGCUGAGGCGUGAUGACGAGGCACUACGGUGCUGAAGCAACAAAUGCCCUGCUUCCAGGAAAAGCCUCUAAGCAUCAGGUAACAUCAAAUCGUACCCCAAACCGACACAGGUGGUCAGGUAGAGAAUACCAAGGCGCUUGAGAGAACUCGGGUGAAGGAACUAGGCAAAAUGGUGCCGUAACUUCGGGAGAAGG